CAAAGUUCCAACCGAGGAAGAAUUAGACUAUGCCAGUAUUUUCGCUCAGAGUAUUGAAAGAAUUGGAUGGCUCAAUGAUAAAGGUAAAUUGACAGAAGUUAAUGGGUCUCACGUUCCAAUGGCUUAUUGUAAAAUAGCUAUUCAGGAAAAGAUUGAAGUUGAAAACAUCAUAUGCAUUCAAUUUAAUUCAGAUGGGAAAGAAUUAAGAAAAUACAUUCAAUGUAAGGGAGUUGUUUCCGAAAUAUUAGCACAGAAAUCUAAAAGCGUCCAUACUUAUGUAAUCGUUAAAGCAGAUGAAAGGAAAUUGGGUGAAAAUGUUUUGUAUGUAGAAUAAUCAAUGCAAUGAUACAAUUCCUUAUUUUUAAUUGCAAUUUUUAUGAUUAUUCAAUUUAAUUUUUGGGAUUAAAAGUGAU